rnacentral:misc_RNA from 1 species
GGGAUGUGGUGGGGAUUAAGAAGUGGGAGGGUUUUUUCCCAUCAUGUUGCCCAUACCAUACUCGAUGAAAAUAAUCAAAUUAACUAAAGGGAGGAAGGUGCAACCUAUGUACAAAAACCUGUUUAGUCUGGUACGUAAUGGAUUUUUGGCUAGGUGAUACAAGUCACUGAUACUCCCCAAUGAUUUGGAACGCAUGGCAGAUUCCAA